GGGGGCGAUAUGGUUUCGACGGGGUUAAUUGAGGCGUCAGUUGCGUGCCGAGGCGUCGGGCCCUCGUAAAAACGACACAAACACAAAUGCAGAUGAAUACUAUACUGCACCUCUCGCAAUGGCUGCGUAAGCCUGCGCGAAGGACAAUCGGCUGCCUAUAACCAGCCGACGUUCAAACUGUUCUUGCCUGUGAGGCAGGGCGAACGUCAUUAACACAGGAUAGUCGCCGAUUAUGCGCGGGAAUAGGCGGCGAAUUCUCAACUGCGCUAACGCGGGUAUGAUCUUGUCUAUGGGAGCAUACCCGCGUGACACCAAAACAUAGACUACGCAUGUAGACGCUGGCAGCUGAAGAGCUUCGGACCGGGGUUCGAUUCCCCGCGCCUCCACCA
rnacentral:tmRNA from 1 species